GGCCACAGGCAUGUCACCUUGCAGCCCAAACCAGUUACUCACUGAAGCUAAGCAGGGCUGAGCCUGGUCAGUACCUGGAUGGGAGACCACUAGGGAACUGUAGGUUGCUGUUGGAA
rnacentral:rRNA from 1 species